CUGAUAUGUUACAAUGUCGUUUUAUGACCAUCAGAAUUCUGUAAAAUCUCUCCCCAAAGUCCAGGAAAUGGCAUUUCAGAGAGUCUAAAUUCAAAAAUUUUCCGGAUGAGCAUGCCCUGGACCCCCUAGAAAAUUUGUGCAUAUACGGCGCUCGACUCAUGCCUUUGGCACUUCUACUAGGGGGGCCUUCGAAAAUUUUGAACCGGGGGCCCCCUGAUAUAACGUUACGCCACUG
rnacentral:lncRNA from 1 species